rnacentral:rRNA from 1 species
UACGGAGGGUGCAAGCGUUGCUCGGAAUUAUUGGGCGUAAAGGGUAGGUAGGUGGUCUCAUUUGUCUGGGGUGAAAGCCUUGAGCUUAACUCAAGAAGUGCCCCAGAAACGGUGAGACUGGAGUCCUGGAGAGGGUCGUGGAAUUCCCGGUGUAGCGGUGAAAUGCGUAGAGAUCGGGAGGAACACCAGUGGCGAAGGCGGCUACCUGGACCAGCACUGGCACUGAGGCACGAAAGCGUGGGGAGCAAACAGG